rnacentral:rRNA from 1 species
GACGAACGCUGGCGGCGUGCUUAACACAUGCAAGUCGAACGGAAAGGCCCUGCUUUUGUGGGGUGCUCGAGUGGCGAACGGGUGAGUAACACGUGAGUAACCUGCCCUUGACUUUGGGAUAACUUCAGGAAACUGGGGCUAAUACCGGAUAGGAGCUCCUGCUGCAUGGUGGGGGGUGGAAAGUUUCGGCGGUUGGGGAUGGACUCGCGGCUUAUCAGCUUGUUGGUGGGGUAGUGGCUUACCAAGGCUUUGACGGGUAGCCGGCCUGAGAGGGUGACCGGCCACAUUGGGACUGAGCUACGGCCCAGACUCCUACGGGAGGCAGCAGUGGGGAAUAUUGCACAAUGGGCGGAAGCCUGAUGCAGCAACGCCGCGUGCGGGAUGACGGCCUUCGGGUUGUAAACCGCUUUCGCCUGUGACGAAGCGUGAGUGACGGUAAUGGGUAAAGAAGCACCGGCUAACUACGUG